CCCAGGGCUGCAGGGAAUCACGGGGCUGGCUGGUUUGGCCAGGUCCAGAGGGAGCUGGGAUCAGACCCAGCAAAUGGCAUUUGGGAUCUGACCCAG